CAGCCGCCACGGUAAUACAGAGGAUGCAAGCGUUAUCCGGAAUGACUGGGCGUAAAGCGUCUGUAGGUGGCUUUUCAAGUCCGCCGUCAAAUCCCAGGGCUCAACCCUGGACAGGCGGUGGAAACUACCAAGCUGGAGUACGGUAGGGGCAGAGGGAAUUUCCGGUGGAGCGGUGAAAUGCGUAGAUAUCGGAAGGAACACCUGUGGCGAAAGCGGCUCACUGGACAAUAACUGACGCUGAUGCACGAAAGCUAGGGGAGCAAACAGGAUUAGAUACCCGCGUAGUCCCUGUCUCUUAUAC
rnacentral:rRNA from 1 species